GGGGCUGCGGAAUUUUGGAAGCGCAGAAGUUUUCUCCUCCUGUCCUGUAACUGGUUUUCACUCACUCAACUGAGAGAUUUCUUUGUUGCAAUGAUGGGGUCUAAGAUAACACUUCUGGAGGCUGCAGGCGAGAAACACAGCUGAUAUCAUCUUUUAUUGUGUGUUGUUAUUUGCCUAGCAUUAUAAAUUAAGGAGGAAUAGUAACAAAGAGCUUGAAGACAUGCACAGCUCACAGGCCCCGGGUGGAGGCUGGCGACAUCAGACAGACAGAACCAAGACAUCUGAGGGGCAACCAGGAGGUGCGUGUGGCUGCAGAGCACACAGACUUGUCUUUGGACAAAAUUGAGAAGAACUCAUAAACUUGGCUUCCUCGCUUCUGCUCCUCAGACGCGCGUGGAUGAUUUGAAGAUAUUAGCCUAACAAGAUGGAAGCAGGUUUAAAAUUUUACAUAAGAAGUUACCUUUUUCAGGUAAUGGUGUUUUUCUGUAAUUUUCCCAAACCUUUCGCUUCCUCAAGUAUUGCAAAUUUUUAGGGCAUGCUUGAAUGAUUUAAUUAUGAAGAAUAACUACAUUUUAAACUUAAUUUUUUAAAAAAGAAACCAGUUUUAUAAUUUUCCUAGCCAAGGAGUAGAGCAGGCAUGACAUUCAACUCUAUGGAGUUUGGAAAAUUUUUAGAAAUUUAUUACUGAACAGCACUUGGUUUUUUGGAUUUGAAAAUUAAGCCAUAGAGCUACAACUAAAUUCUGUUUUGCCAAACUUCACAGCACCAGCAGGCUCUGAGCAAUCAUAAGCAUUUGAAACUAGCAGGCACUGCCCCUUAACUCUGUCGCUAUCUUGGGCAUUUGAAUGAAAAAAUAUAAGUAUUACAGGAUUGGCUCUAAAAAGCCUACCAUGUGUUCUGAAUUCCUGGAAGAUAGAGCUUAUAUAAAUUACAUAAUAACAAUAUUGAUUUUUUUUUUUACUUUAGUCAUAGAUUGGCAAUACUAUAUGGCACUUUAUGAAACUAUUCCCAUGCAUAUAUUCAGUGAGUAGGAUUUGAUCUUAGCUUUCAUGAUACAGGCAGUUUCCUUUUAGUGUCAUUGAAGGGCUUUAUGCCACCUAAAAAUGUUUAAUAACAUAAAUUAUAUAUUUGCUUUAUAAGUUACAUUACUCGGCCUUUGUCACUGCUUAUCAGCAUUAACCCAUAUUUUCCAACUUGUUAAUAUUACUAAGAGAGCCCACGGAUUCUUGCUUAAUGAAGCAAGCCAAAAUUUCUUCUGAAAAAAACCCCUCAUUUUCCUCCUCAACACAAAGAAGAUUCUUAAAGGACGUAUUCAAUUAAUACUUUAAGAAAAAUAUCUACUCCCAAACAAACCAUCCCUUUACUAGGUCAGUAUUUGAUUUUCUUCUCGUUUUUUUCCUGCAGCCUGGGUAUCUUCUGGUUGCUCUUUUAUUUUCUAAAAUGGAAACUUUGGAUUGUUUGGAGGUUAACACUACAAACCAUUUGAAAUGAAAAACUUCUCUCUGUUCUAUAUUUGCCAAGGAAAGGGAGAGCUGCCCCCAGCUGAAACGCAGCAUUGAGCUCCUUUCUGUGGAGGUCAAGAGCGCCAUGCAAAUUUAUGAAAGUGGUGCUAUUUGAAUGUCUCAGUGUACCACUUUGAUAGAUCUUAGUCUAUCGCUAACAAAUAUUGUAUCGUUCUAGUAAGCGUGAUGAUAACAAUUCAUUCUCAUUACUCUGGGACGUUGGGCUUAUUCUGCUCCAUUAUAAUAGGAGCACCUACAUCCCCCACAUUCCAGCAAUAUUUAACAGGGUUCAAAGUGGCCAUCCUCAAAUACCUCUAG
ensembl:lncRNA MIR100HG mir-100-let-7a-2-mir-125b-1 cluster host gene